rnacentral:rRNA from 1 species
AUUGAACGCUGGCGGCAGGCCUUACACAUGCAAGUCGAACGAGUGGCGGACGGGUGAGUAAUGUCUGGGAAACUGCCCGAUGGAGGGGGAUAACUACUGGAAACGGUAGCUAAUACCGCAUACCAUCAGAUGUGCCCAGGUGGGAUAAGCUAGUAGGUGGGGUAAUGGCUCACCUAGGCGACGAUCCCUAGCUGGUCUGAGAGGAUGACCAGCCACACUGGAACUGAGACACGGUCCAGACUCCUACGGGGGGCAGCAGUGGGGAAUAUUGCACAAUGGGCGCAAGCCGGAUGCAGCCAUGCCGCGUGUGUGAUGAAGGCCUUCGGGUUGUAAAGCACUUUCAGCGAGGAAGCGUUACUCGCAGAAGAAGCACCGGCUAACUCCGUGCCAGCAGCCGCGGUAAUAC